rnacentral:lncRNA from 1 species
ACAAUAACUAAAGCAUAGAAGGAAGGCUAAAAUAAGAAUUCAGAAACUAUAAACCGGCUCUCUUCUAGCUUACGACACAAACUAUGAGUGAGAAAAGGACAAAUGAUUCGCUCUUUGCUUCAUUUUUUCCGAGGUUGUCACAACAUGAAAUGUCAUUUGGACCUAUUGGACUCAUUUUAACUCGGCCAAAUACAUAGUAACAUACAUAAGAAGAUUUUACUUAUAUUUACCGAACUAUUUGACACGGUCGCGUCAACUGUGUUUACGAGUGUCUUGUGUUCAGAUUGUUUUAAGUGAUAAUUUAACAAUAUUUUUCCAAAUAAAUGGAAAGAAACUUUUAUUUAUAUCAAAUAAUUGAGUGUCUCGACUGUGUGACAUUAUGUCUUGUGUGGUAUGGGGCUGCAGCUCACAUUCAGGAAGAAAAGAAAAUAGCCAACAACUUCUGUCGUUUCAUCGAUAUUAAAUCCAAAAGUGUCGACUGGAUUUACAUGAAAAGUCAGUUCAAGAAGACGAGAUGAAAAAUUUAAAAGAAAAGCUGAACAAGUCCCGCCUCAAGAUCAAACGACUUAAUGAAAAAAAAAACAAUGUGACAGGGUGUCACAAAGACAGUUUCUAAGCAAAUUGACACUGUUUAGAAAUUAAUAAAUUUGUAUUUAUUGUAAAUAUAAUGUACAUAAUUAAUAACGUGUGAAAUAAAUACUUGCUAAUGAAAAUGAACAGAUUUACGAUCUAAUUUAUAUUUCAUUUUACCUCCUGUUCUUAUUUACUCCUACUCCAACACUCCAGGUUGAUACGAACUGCGCCCAAUAAAGAAUGUAAUGAAUGUUAUAGAUUUGUGUAAGCGACUUAGAUAAAUCUUGACUAAACCUUCCUUUACAAAUACAAAUAUACUUUAUUGCACACAACAUACAAUACUUACAAGUUUUACACGAAAGAUACAGUACACCACCUACCUACCUUUUACUUUCCCUUUCUGUUCUCUUAUGAAUACUUGUAUGCCGUAUUUUUUUAAGUAUAAUGCUAUAUCUAGUAGGUACGAGUAUGGUAAUCCUAUUAUUGAAACAGCUUGUAGCCCUAGUAAAGACCGCCAUUUUAUGUUUACAGAGUGGCACGUUUUUUCUGUAGGUAUUUCCAGUCCAUACUCUUUUCUAUGUCUAUGGCGUGACCCCAUCGGGCCUCUUACCGUCUGUGCGGCUUAGACCCGGCGGCGGCGGUUCCAAUUUGCACGGCACGUCGAUCGACACCAGUGCACGGCGGAUGACAUCAUAAAUAAAUUCGAAUAUUACAAAAUACUUACCGAUGAAACGAUAACAGUUGGCUAUUUUCUUUCCUUCCUGAAUGUGAGCUGCAGCUCCAAACUAAUAUAAACCAGACAAUAUAAUCCAAAAAUGGUUAGAUACUUACCUAUCAGAGACAGAGUCUCCUUUCAUCAAGAAGAUAAUUGCAUCCUACAAAAAGAAAUCUUGUAAAAAAAAUUUAUCGACAUUAAUUGUAAGUAAAUUUAAUUUUAUCGACAUAUUACUAAAGUGAAACCCAACACUAGGCAAUGAAAAACUUGUGACAACCUACGAAAUUACGAAACAAUUUUUGUAUAUGCGUCUUUGUCUAACAUUACGCCGGUUCCGUAAGAUAAAGUAGAGCAGAAUUAUAGAGUUCUGUUGCUAUUUUAGCCUUCCUUCUAUGCUUUAGUUAUUGU